AUCAAAAACAUGUCUUUUUUGUUUACAAUUCUAAAGUCUGUCCUGCCCACUGAAUUUUUGAAGGGCCGCGGUAUUUUGACCGUGCAAAGGUAGCAUAAUCAUUAGUCUUUUAAUUGGAGACUGGAAUGAAUGGUUGGACGAAGUAUUAACUGUCUCGUAAUAAAAAUUUGAAUUUAACUUCUUAGUAAAAAGGCUAAGAUUGAUAUAAGGGACGAGAAGACCCUAUAAAGUUUUAUAUAAUUUUAUUUUAUAUUAUAUUUAGAAUGAUACUUAAAUAAAAUAAAAUUAUAUUUGGUUGGGGUGACUUGAAGAAUUUUUAAACUCUUUAUUAUUUAAAACUUUGAUGUAAGGAUUAUUGAUCCAAUAUUAUUGAUUAUAAGAUCAAAUUACUUUAGGGAUAACAGCGUAAUUUUCUUUAAGAGUUCUUAUCGACAAGAAAGAUUGCGACCUCGAUGUUGAAUUAAGGUAUAUUAAUGGGUGCAUCAGUUCAUAWUUAAUUCUGUUCGACUUUUUAUCCUUAACAUGAUCUGAGU
rnacentral:rRNA from 1 species